rnacentral:rRNA from 1 species
UACGUAGGGCGCGAGCGUUGUCCGGAAUUAUUGGGCGUAAAGAGCUCGUAGGCGGUUCGUCGCGUCGGCUGUGAAAACCCGGAGCUCAACUCCGGGCCUGCAGUCGAUACGGGCGGACUAGAGUUCGGCAGGGGAGACUGGAAUUCCUGGUGUAGCGGUGAAAUGCGCAGAUAUCAGGAGGAACACCGGUGGCGAAGGCGGGUCUCUGGGCCGAUACUGACGCUGAGGAGCGAAGGCGUGGGGAGCGAACAGG